rnacentral:ncRNA from 1 species
CGUCUCCUCCACUUCUUUCUGAGAAUUGGAUUUAGCCGGCUCCCUGAGCCGGCUUUUUUUU